rnacentral:lncRNA from 1 species
CAAGAAAGGCAAAACAUCGACGCGACCAAUGUCGCAUUCAUGACUUACCGACCAGGUCACGACCGAUCGAAGGAUAUUUAGCUUACCACCAUUUAUCACACGGCACGACGUAAGUACCCGGCCUAGGUCUGGAUAAUGGGAAUUCGACUUGUCAUCGUUUCCCUGACUAAACGCGUCGGAUGCCAUUCGACUAAGUGCCUCAAGCGACAUUUGACUAUUAGACCCUAUGAAAUGAUCCGACCAUCGAGUCAUGCCCAG